AAAAAAACAAACCAUGUUUUCCGUGUCACGUUUGACCGUCUGUCUUAUUUAAAAAAAUUAUGAAAAAAAUUAAAAAAACAAGUCAUGCAUAAAAUAUUAAUUAUGGUUUAUCAUCUAACAAUAAUAAAAAUACGAAUUAUAAAAAAAUUUCAUAUAAGACGGACAGUUAAAGUUGGACACGGAAACCCAGGGUUUGUCUUUUU
rnacentral:pre_miRNA from 1 species